UAGAUGGAAGGCUCUCGUAGAAGCCCUAAGUUCCCGAGAGAAAUAAGAAGGAAUUAAAGAAAAAAAAAAUUGUAGUUAGCCAUUAGUAGCCUUUUCUAAAAAAAAAAUACGUUGGUGGGCCUAAUUUCCCACCCACUGAAGAAAUGCUACAAGUCCCAGCAACUCGUUCCUUUUCAAUCAAUUGCGCUCCCUUGACCCUUUUUGUGUGGAUGCGUGGGCCAAAAAGCUAUUAUGUUGCUCAAUUGAAUCCAUUGUUCGUCAAAAUUCGGCACAAAGAAAAACCCGUGGGCACGGCCCAAGCAAAACAAACUGGAUCCAUGUUGAUCCCUUGUCUGAAGGACCUCGGAGGCAAACAAAGCCGGACAAUGGCGGCCGAAGAAUAAAAAUGCCCAGCAAUUAUUACCAAUUGAUACUGGAGCGGAGCACAACAGGGGAUAUGUAUAAGCCCCAGUCGCUCAGCCCACCGACAAGGGAAAAUAUGUUGAACAGUUAAGCAAAUAUUAAAGGGAGCAAAACGCAAAAGGAGUGCCACAAAAUAUCAACCUCUUAAUCAAUGUCAGGGGAGCGUAGAAAUAUUCGCUGAAAAUAAUAAUUUAUGCAGUUUAGUUCGGUUAAGCCGAACAAUGGGAGGAAAAAAUAGCAGAAAACACAAAGGAUUUUGCCCGGAAGGGAAAAGCAAUUUAGUUUGACCUUAUUUGGCACACUACUGUGCAACAAAGUCACCUGGUAUUGGAUCUUCUAUAUUCUUUAAUAGGUAAAACAUAAAGUUGCCAUAAAAAUCGAUCGACCCUAAAAAAUGUUUAAAACUAUAUUUUUUUUGCAAUUUAAGUUUUUCUGCCCGUCAUCAGUUUAUAAAAAUAAAACGUUGCUGUUAGAUCGUAAUAAUGAAAAAGGGUAUAUGAUCAAAA